GACGAACGCUGGCGGCGUGCCUAAUACAUGCAAGUUGAGCGCUGAAGGUUGGUCCUUGUACCAACUGGAUGAGCAGCGAACGGGUGAGUAACGCGUGGGGAAUCUGCCUUUGAGCGGGGGACAACAUUUGGAAGCGAAUGCUAAUACCGCAUAAAAACUUUAAACACAAGUUUUAAGUUUGAAAGAUGCAAUUGCAUCACUCAAAGAUGAUCCCGCGUUGUAUUAGCUAGUUGGUGAGGUAAAGGCUCACCAAGGCGAUGAUACAUAGCCGACCUGAGAGGGUGAUCGGCCACAUUGGGACUGAGACACGGCCCAAACUCCUACGGGAGGCAGCAGUAGGGAAUCUUCGGCAAUGGACGAAAGUCUGACCGAGCAACGCCGCGUGAGUGAAGAAGGUUUUCGGAUCGUAAAACUCUGUUGGUAGAGAAGAACGUUGGUGAGAGUGGAAAGCUCAUCAAGUGACGGUAACUACCCAGAAAGGGACGGCUAACUACGUG
rnacentral:rRNA from 1 species